rnacentral:rRNA from 1 species
GAUGAACGCUAGCGGGAGGCCUAACACAUGCAAGCCGAGCGGUAUUUGUUCUUCGGAACAGAGAGAGCGGCGCACGGGUGCGGAACACGUGUGCAACCUGCCUUUAUCUGGGGGAUAGCCUUUCGAAAGGAAGAUUAAUACCCCAUAAUAUAUUGAGUGGCAUCAUUUGAUAUUGAAAACUCCGGUGGAUAGAGAUGGGCACGCGCAAGAUUAGAUAGUUGGUGAGGUAACGGCUCACCAAGUCAAUGAUCUUUAGGGGGCCUGAGAGGGUGAUCCCCCACACUGGUACUGAGACACGGACCAGACUCCUACGGGAGGCAGCAGUGAGGAAUAGUGGACAAUGGGUUAGCGCCUGAUCCAGCCAUCCCGCGUGAAGGACGACGGCCCUAUGGGUUGUAAACUUCUUUUGUAUAGGGAUAAACCUACUCUCGUGAGAGUAGCUGAAGGUACUAUACGAAUAAGCACCGGCUAACUCCGUG